AUGCUGGGGACCCUCUGCACUCUCAUCACUGCUCUCACAUGUGUGAGUGGUGUGACGGUGGUGACACAGAAGCCUGUUGUAGCCGUGACGACAGGAGAGACAGUCUCCAUAGACUGUAACCUCGGGACUGUUACUAACUAUCCUGCUCUCUGGUAUAAACAGAUUCCAGGAGGAGUUCCUCAGUUUGUAAUAAGUUUUCAUCACGACUGGAGCUCUCCAACAUAUGGCACUGGUUUCUCAUCUUCAAAGUUCACAUCCACUCAUCAGUCAACUUCAGACUAUCGUUUGACCAUAAAGAACAUCGAGGAGGGAGACUCAGCCGUCUAUUACUGUAACACAUGGGACGACUCUGUUAAAGAGUGGGUAUCACAGUGAUUUACACUGUGACAAAAACCUCUUCACUGAGUACUUCUGCUUUUUGAGACG